CUAGCUACAGGCUUAACACAUGCAAGUCGAGGGGCAGCAUGGUCUUAGCUUGCUAAGGCCGAUGGCGACCGGCGCACGGGUGAGUAACACGUAUCCAACCUGCCGUCUACUCUUGGACAGCCUUCUGAAAGGAAGAUUAAUACAAGAUGGCAUCAUGAGUCCGCAUGUUCACAUGAUUAAAGGUAUUCCGGUAGACGAUGGGGAUGCGUUCCAUUAGAUAGUAGGCGGGGUAACGGCCCACCUAGUCUUCGAUGGAUAGGGGUUCUGAGAGGAAGGUCCCCCACAUUGGAACUGAGACACGGUCCAAACUCCUACGGGAGGCAGCAGUGAGGAAUAUUGGUCAAUGGGCGAGAGCCUGAACCAGCCAAGUAGCGUGAAGGAUGACUGCCCUAUGGGUUGUAAACUUCUUUUAUAAAGGAAUAAAGUCGGGUAUGGAUACCCGUUUGCAUGUACUUUAUGAAUAAGGAUCGGCUAACUCCGUGCCAGCAGCCGCGGUAAUACGGAGGAUCCGAGCGUUAUCCGGAUUUAUUGGGUUUAAAGGGAGCGUAGAUGGAUGUUUAAGUCAGUUGUGAAAGUUUGCGGCUCAACCGUAAAAUUGCAGUUGAUACUGGAUAUCUUGAGUGCAGUUGAGGCAGGCGGAAUUCGUGGUGUAGCGGUGAAAUGCUUAGAUAUCACGAAGAACUCCGAUUGCGAAGGCAGCCUGCUAAGCUGCAACUGACAUUGAGGCUCGAAAGUGUGGGUAUCAAACAGGAUUAGAUACCCUGGUAGUCCACACGGUAAACGAUGAAUACUCGCUGUUUGCGAUAUACGGCAAGCGGCCAAGCGAAAGCGUUAAGUAUUCCACCUGGGGAGUACGCCGGCAACGGUGAAACUCAAAGGAAUUGACGGGGGCCCGCACAAGCGGAGGAACAUGUGGUUUAAUUCGAUGAUACGCGAGGAACCUUACCCGGGCUUAAAUUGCAGAUGAAUUACGGUGAAAGCCGUAAGCCGCAAGGCAUCUGUGAAGGUGCUGCAUGGUUGUCGUCAGCUCGUGCCGUGAGGUGUCGGCUUAAGUGCCAUAACGAGCGCAACCCUUGUUGUCAGUUACUAACAGGUUCCGCUGAGGACUCUGACAAGACUGCCAUCGUAAGAUGUGAGGAAGGUGGGGAUGACGUCAAAUCAGCACGGCCCUUACGUCCGGGGCUACACACGUGUUACAAUGGGGGGUACAGAGGGCCGCUACCACGCGAGUGGAUGCCAAUCCCCAAAACCUCUCUCAGUUCGGACUGGAGUCUGCAACCCGACUCCACGAAGCUGGAUUCGCUAGUAAUCGCGCAUCAGCCACGGCGCGGUGAAUACGUUCCCGGGCCUUGUACACACCGCCCGUCAAGCCAUGGGAGCCGGGGGUACCUGAAGUGCGUAACCGCGAGGAGCGCCCUAGGGUAAAACUGGUGACUGGGGCUA
rnacentral:rRNA from 1 species